rnacentral:rRNA from 1 species
AACGCGAAGAACCUUACCCAGACUUGACAUUGAUGGGAUCCCUUAGAAAUAGGGGAGUACUCUUCGGAGACCUGAAAACAGGUGCUGCAUGGCUGUCGUCAGCUCGUGUCGUGAGAUGUUGGGUUAAGUCCCGCAACGAGCGCAACCCUUGCCGUUAGUUGCCAUCAGGUAAUGCUGGGCACUCUAGCGGGACUGCCGGUGUCAAACCGGAGGAAGGUGGGGAUGACGUCAAGUCCUCAUGGCCUUUAUGUCUGGGGCUACACACGUGCUACAAUGGCAUCUACAAACCGAUGCGAACUCGCGAGGGGAAGCAAAUCGGAAAAAAGAUGUCUCAGUUCGGAUCGAAGUCUGCAACUCGACUUCGUGAAGUCGGAAUCGCUAGUAAUCGUGGAUCAGCAUGCCACGGUGAAUACGUUCCCGGGCCUUGUACACACCGACUGUAC